CCUACGGGUGGCUGCAGUGGGGAAUAUUGGACAAUGGGGGGAACCCUGAUCCAGCCAUGCCGCGUGUGUGAAGAAGGCCCUCGGGUUGUAAAGCACUUUCAGUGAGGAAGAACGCCUGGUGGUUAAUACCGAUCAGGAAAGACAUCACUCACAGAAGAAGCACCGGCUAACUACGUGCCAGCAGCCGCGGUAAUACGGAGGGUGCGAGCGUUAAUCGGAAUUACUGGGCGUAAAGCGCGCGUAGGUGGCUUGAUAAGCCGGUUGUGAAAGCCCCGGGCUCAACCUGGGAACGGCAUCCGGAACUGUCAAGCUAGAGUGCAGGAGAGGAAGGUAGAAUUCCCAGUGUAGCGGUGAAAUGCGUAGAGAUCGGGAGGAAUACCAGUGGCGAAGGCGGCUUUCUGGACUGACACUGACACUGAGGUGCGAAAGCGUGGGGAGCAAACAGGAUUAGAUACCCGAGUAGUC
rnacentral:rRNA from 1 species